GAUGAACGCUGGCGGCGUGCUCAAUACAUGCAAGUCGAGCGAACGGACGAGAAGCUUGCUUCUCUGUCGUUAGCGGCGGACGGGUGAGUAACACGUGGAUCACCUCCCUAUCAGACUGGGAUAACUUCGGGAAACCGGAGCUAAUCCCGGAUAAUAUUCUGAACCGCAUGGUUCAAAAGUGAAAGACGGUCUUGCUGUCUCUUAUAGAUGGAUCCGCGCUGCAUUAGCUAGUUGGUAAGGUAACGGCUUACCAAGGCUACGAUGCGUAGCCGACCUGAGAGGCGGGUAGGCCACACGGGAGGGUAGACACGGUCCAUGCUCCUGCGGUAGGCAGCAGUAGGGAAUGGUCGGCAAUGGGCGGAAGCCUGGCGGAGCGACGCGGCGUGAGUGAUGAAGGUCUUCGGAUCGUAAAACUCUGUUAUGGGGGAAGAACAGAUGUGGAAGGAACUGUGGAGAUCUUGACGGUACCGGAUCAGGAAGCCACGGCUAACUACGUG
rnacentral:rRNA from 1 species